AACGAACGCUGGCGGCAUGCCUAACACAUGCAAGUCGAACGAGACCUUCGGGUCUAGUGGCGCACGGGUGCGUAACGCGUGGGAACCUGCCCUUAGGUUCGGAAUAACUCCCCGAAAGGGGUGCUAAUACCGGAUAAUGUCUUCGGACCAAAGAGUUAUCGCCUUUGGCUGGGCCCGCGUUGGAUUAGCUAGUUGGUAGGGUAAAAGCCUACCAAGGCGACGAUCCAUAGCUGGUCUGAGAGGAUGCUCAGCCACACUGGGACUGCGACACGGCCCAGACUCCUACGGGAGGCAGCAGUGGGGAAUAUUGGACAAUGGGCGAAAGCCUGAUCCAGCAAUGCCGCGUGAGUGAUGAAGGCCUUAGGGUUGUAAAGCUCUUUUACCCGGGAUGAUAAUGACAGUACCGGGAGAAUAAGCUCCGGCUAACUCCGUG
rnacentral:rRNA from 1 species